UUUUGUUAUUAUAAAUAGGUAGUGUUUAAAAUUAACAAUGUGAAUAUGAGUAGGUAGUUCCGAAAUUAGCGACAAAAUUUUAAUGUGGGUAUACAAACAAUAAGUCGGCUGUGCUGCAGGAGGUUAGAUACCUUGCAAAAAUAAGAAAUACAAUAAUACUUUUAUAGCUAGGAUAAAAUAGUUAGAAUCAUGUUACAAUAUUGGCAAAGCAUCGUUAUUUUAAUUGCAAUUUUAGUUGUUCUGAUUUUUGGUUUCGCAAUAAUCCCGCGAUGUCUCCGUAAGCGCAGCUCCGGCUACAAGCCUCACGAGACGUGUCGCGGGCUGGAGGCGUCCGCGCUGAGCGACAGCCUGUCCGUGUCCGUGCCGCCCGUGCCCAUCUACUUCUUCGUCACGGAAGCACGCUGCGACAGUUAUUCUGUUUAGCGCCCCAGUGGUUAAUCAAGUGUUAAGUUCUUAUAAUAACGGUUUGUACAGUUGUUGCUACAGAUAUCUGCAAGAUUAUAUCUGAUGGCACAUAGGGAAAACUGAAGGCCAAAUAUGUUAAGUAUUUUCUGUUAGUUGAUUCCUACUCUUUAUUAAAUUAUUGUUAUUAGAUGAUUUUAAAUAUUUUUAGAAUGUUAAAUAUUCUAUAUUCAUAAUGGUUCUGUAAGUAAAACGAAUUGUUAAUGUAUUAAAAUAAAAAGUUUUUAUUUAUUUA